UACGUAGGGGGGCAAGCGUUGUCCGGAAUCAUUGGGCGUAAAGAGCGUGUAGGCGGCUCGGUAAGUCCGCUGUGAAAGUCCAGGGCUCAACCCUGGAAUGCCGGUGGAAACUGUCGAGCUCGAGUCCGGAAGAGGCGAGUGGAAUUCCUGGUGUAGCGGUGAAAUGCGCAGAUAUCAGGAGGAACACCAAUGGCGAAGGCAGCUCGCUGGGACGGUACUGACGCUGAGACGCGAAAGCGUGGGGAGCAAACAGG
rnacentral:rRNA from 1 species